UUAAAAAGCUCGUAGUUGGAUCUAGGGACGCGCAUUUCAAGCGCCCGUGUCGUCGGGUCAAACCGGCGACUGCGUUGGCGUUGCGGGCUCGGUCCGUCGGUGCCCCCACAAAGGGCUACUGGCGUGUCAACCGGCCCGCCCGUCCCCUCCUUCUGGAUUCCCGUUCCUGCUAUUGAGUUAGUGGGGACGUCACAGGGGGCUCAUCGUCGUCGGGUCAAACCGGCGGCGGUGGGUCCCUGGGGCCCAGAUCGUUUACCGUGAAAAAAUUAGAGUGUUCAAAGCAGGCAGAUCCAAUUUUCUGCCACCGAAUACAUUAGCAUGGGAUAAUGGAAUAGGACCCUGUCCUCCUAUUUUCAGUUGGUUUUGGCAGCGCGAGGACUAGGGUAAUGAUUAAUAGGGAUAGUUGGGGGCAUUAAUAUUUAAUUGUCAGAGGUGAAAUUCUUGGAUUUAUGAAAGAUUAACUUCUGCGAAAGCAUCUGCCAAGGAUGUUUUC
rnacentral:rRNA from 1 species